ACCAAUGACAACAGCUUCUCUCCUGAGCUGUGUGGGGCUUGCAGGGCCCAGAUGACACAGGAGGGGAUGGGGCAGACUCAGCCUGUCUCCAGAGGACAGUGAAAGGCACCCGGAAACAAGAAACUCAGCAUAUACUUCACAAAAGCCCAGCCCGAGCCGAUCAGGGCGAUGGUGAUGAAGAGAAGGGCGCCCUUCAGCCUGGGGGAGCCAGGGCGGGGAGGCGUGACGAUGCGGUGGGGACCCUCCCUCCCUUCCUGUGUGCCCACCUGUGUGCAGAGAUGGCGACUCACAGAGCACAGACACCCAGAAGAUGCCAGCAGCCAGGAAGCAGGCAGACAUGAUCAGGUAGAGCUUGAAGAGGGGGAUCUCAGCCGCUGACAAGAAGCCUUCUGGAUUCUUCUCUCGGAUCAUUACCUGUACGGGGGGAAUGCAGGGCUGCAGGCUCUCAUGGAGAAGACAGGGCCCCGACACCACACCCGUUCCCCCUCAUCCCUCGGAAGCCCUCUACUCACCGAGUAGGAGCGAACGCUGCCAGAUCGUACCCGGUUCAAGCUGAAUCCCACCUGAAGGAAAAGAGAAAACAGUGAAGGGCUCCCAAAGCAUCCACCAGAAGAGAUGCAACCUAGUUCUGUUCUGCUUUGAGACAGGACUCGUUACAUAGCCCUAGCUGGCAGGGGAUUCACCGAGGUUGGCCAGGCUGGGGGUUGAACUUGCGAAUUUGCAGCAACUCUCCAGCCGCCUCACCAUGUAGCAGCAGUUCUGGCUCAUCUCACAGGUACUGAACGCCCGCCAUAUGCUAGAUUUCCAAUGACCUGCCCCUGGCUCUCAAUGCUCAUAGGGAAUGUACUUCCUUUGAGACACUGUUCACAGCCUGAUUGCCUUUACUCACUUAAAAUGUUAACGGUGCUGGACAGGAGAGAGCAUGGUUGCAAUUUCAUAGGCUAAGGCAGGAGGGACUUAAGUUUGAGGCUAAGCUGCACUACGUCAGACCCUGUUGCAAAACAAACUGUCAAAAUGAGGCUGCUUGCCAGGCACAGUGAUGCAUGCCUUUGAAUACCAGCGGUAGACGUCUGUGAGUUCAAAGCCAGCCUGGUCGACAUAGUGAGUUCUAGGACAGCCAGAGCUACAUAGUGAGGCCCUGUCUUGAACACCACACCCAAACCAAAAACAAAUAAGCAAGCAAGCAAACAAACAAACAAAAAGAGAAAAUAAGGCUGCUAUAAAUGGGACAUUUAUAUCACACCUCUUUUCCAAAGGCUCAGGGAACAUCGCUGAAGAAGAAGGAAAGACUGUAAAAGCCAGAAGUUGGGGAGGACUGGAGCAGAAAAAAAAAAGUCUUCUGGCCAUGGCAGACUGCUGCUUAUGAACUCACAGCAGCCAUGGUCGCCUGCACAGGAGCAAGCUGGUCAACAUUCCAGCAAAGAAAGAAGAGUGCUCAAAACCCCACACCUAGCUGAGGAGCUAAGGCCAGCGGAUGAAUGAUGGGUGAAGAAGAGCAAGUUUUCUUUAGGGGUGUAGCCCCAGAUGAAAAUGAAAAAAGAACACAGGCCUUUACUCUCA